UACGGAGGGGGCGAGCGUUAUUCGGAAUUAUUGGGCGUAAAGGGCGCGUAGGCGGCCAACUAAGUCAGACGUGAAAUCCCUCGGCUCAACCGGGGAACUGCGUCUGAUACUGGAUGGCUUGAAUUCGGGAGAGGGAUGCGGAAUUCCAGGUGUAGCGGUGAAAUGCGUAGAUAUCUGGAGGAACACCGGUGGCGAAGGCGGCUCACUGGCCCGAUACUGACGCUGAGGCACGAAAGCGUGGGGAGCAAACAGG
rnacentral:rRNA from 1 species